rnacentral:rRNA from 1 species
CUUCGGCCUCUAGUGGCGGACGGGUGAGUAACGCGUANGUAUCUAUCCUGGGGUGGGGGAUAACAGUGGGAAACUGCUGCUAAUACCGCAUGACACCUGAGGGUCAAAGGCGCGAGUCGCCUUAGGAGGAGCCUGCGUCCGAUUAGCUAGUUGGUGGGGUAAAGGCCUACCAAGGCGACGAUCGGUAGCUGGUCUGAGAGGAUGAUCAGCCACAUUGGGACUGAGACACGGCCCAAACUCCUACGGGAGGCAGCAGUGGGGAAUAUUGGACAAUGGGCGAAAGCCUGAUCCAGCAAUGCCGCGUGGAUGAAGAAGGUCUUCGGAUUGUAAAGUCCUUUCGACGGGGACGAUGAUGACGGUACCCGUAGAAGAAGCCCCGGCUAACUUCGUGCCAGCAGCCGCGGUAAUACGAAGGGGGCUAGCGUUGCUCGGAAUGACUGGGCGUAAAGGGCGCGUAGGCGGUUUGGUUAGUUAGGCGUGAAAUUCCUGGGCUCAACCUGGGGGCUGCGCUUAAUACAGCCAGACUAGAGUGUGAAAGAGGGUCGUGGAAUUCCCAGUGUAGAGGUGAAAUUCGUAGAUAUUGGGAAGAACACCGGUGGCGAAGGCGGCGACCUGGUUCAUUACUGACGCUGAGGCGCGAAAGCGUGGGGAGCAAACAGGAUUAGAUACCCUGGUAGUCCACGCCGUAAACGAUGUGUGCUGGAUGUUGGGUGACCUAGUCACUCAGUGUCGUAGCUAACGCGGUAAGCACACCGCCUGGGGAGUACGGCCGCAAGGUUGAAACUCAAAGGAUUGA